rnacentral:rRNA from 2 species
UGGAUUAAGAGCUUGCUCUUAUGAAGUUAGCGGCGGACGGGUGAGUAACACGUGGGUAACCUGCCCAUAAGACUGGGAUAACUCCGGGAAACCGGGGCUAAUACCGGAUAACAUUUUGAACCGCAUGGUUCGAAAUUGAAAGGCGGCUUCGGCUGUCACUUAUGGAUGGACCCGCGUCGCAUUAGCUAGUUGGUGAGGUAACGGCUCACCAAGGCAACGAUGCGUAGCCGACCUGAGAGGGUGAUCGGCCACACUGGGACUGAGACACGGCCCAGACUCCUACGGGAGGCAGCAGUAGGGAAUCUUCCGCAAUGGACGAAAGUCUGACGGAGCAACGCCGCGUGAGUGAUGAAGGCUUUCGGGUCGUAAAACUCUGUUGUUAGGGAAGAACAAGUGCUAGUUGAAUAAGCUGGCACCUUGACGGUACCUAACCAGAAAGCCACGGCUAACUACGUGCCAGCAGCCGCGGUAAUACGUAGGUGGCAAGCGUUAUCCGGAAUUAUUGGGCGUAAAGCGCGCGCAGGUGGUUUCUUAAGUCUGAUGUGAAAGCCCACGGCUCACCCGUGGAGGGUCAUUGGAAACUGGGAGACUUGAGUGCAGA